rfam:Oryza nivara chromosome 4, whole genome shotgun sequence.
AAAAAGGCAAACCCUGGAUUUUCGUGUUCAACUUUGACUGUCCGUCUUAUAUAAUUUUUUUUAUAAUUCAUAUUUUCAUUGUUGUUAGGUGAUAAAAUAUGAUUGAUAUUUUAUGUGUGACUUGUCUUUUUAAUUUUUUUCAUAAUUUUUUUAAAUAAGACGGAUGGUCAAACGUUGAGCACGAAAACCAUGGUUUGUCUUUUU